AAGAAAACAAAAAAAGGAAAGCCCUAGUCCACUUCUUAAUCUUUCUCCCUCUCUUGUAGUAGCCUCUCUUGUAGUAGCCGCCCAACAAUACUUCCACAGGUUUACUGGCGGCUCCCAACCCACUCCCAACGACCUUGGACCUUCGGCAGGAGCACGAAAUGUGAAGAGCGCGAGCAUUACCAAUGUGUUAUUCCAAUGGCACCAAUAAGCGGUGCAACCGAGAACCAGCGACGUUUUCUUCCAAUUCUGGCCUGCGGUGGCUGUUUUCUACGAUAGUGACCUGUUCUCCAGUAAGUUGCGAGCAAAUCCAACAAGUUUUGCUUCAAAUGUGACAUACCCGUAGAGGCACAGCGGCCGGACCUGCGACCAAUGACGAUUCACAGCGUUCCUCCUCCCUCCACAACGUAACAGAGGUGGUGGAUCUUUUAUGUUUCUGCAACAGAUCUGGCAUUUUGGCAACAUUCCCCAACUAUGACGACUUCGAACAGCUCUGUUCCACGAAGCCGAGUGGUUUUCAUGACAUUUUCUGGCCUUUCAGCGAUGUUCGACGCUUUCCCAUAUACAUUCUAAGCCGAUUUGUGAUACCCACCCCCUUCAUCAUUGAUUCGGCUUUGAGCCACCUCUUUUUAGACUCAAACUAGCGUUACCCAUCGCUUUUCGACAUUGGACUAGUAAGCCUAAGGCCAUUUGAACUCGAAUUUGGGAGCAUGAACCUCAUCAGCGUCAACCCACUCUUAACCCAAGUGGUUUUAGUGUGAGUUAGUAGAUUUUGUAGGUAAUGGGAUUGCUCUCGGGAAUGGUGAUGGCAGAGAGGAGACUUGAUCAAAAAGACCAUUAGCUACAUUGCUUGCAUUUAAUUUCAUUUAGUUAUGAUAGUUUCAGUUAUUACAUCUUCUAGUUGAGAUGGUAGUAGUUGGUUCUGUUUAGUUUUCUUGUUUAAAGGAUGUUUUAAGUGUAACGCCCCGCGUUCCUUAGCUUGUUUGUUUUAAGACUUAAUUUGGGUGCUUUGAUUUUUUCCUUAAGCUGAUA